CUUGGAGCAGCCUGGGAGAGUGGAAGGUGUCCCUGCUCACAGCAGGGGUUGGAAUGAGAUGGGGUUUGAGGUCCCUUCCAAACC